rnacentral:rRNA from 1 species
GACGAACGCUGGCGGCGUGCUUAACACAUGCAAGUCGAACGGAAAGGCCCUGCUUUUGUGGGGUGCUCGAGUGGCGAACGGGUGAGUAACACGUGAGUAACCUGCCCUUGACUUUGGGAUAACUUCAGGAAACUGGGGCUAAUACCGGAUAGGAGCUCCUGCUGCAUGGUGGGGGUUGGAAAGUUUCGGCGGUUGGGGAUGGACUCGCGGCUUAUCAGCUUGUUGGUGGGGUAGUGGCUUACCAAGGCUUUGACGGGUAGCCGGCCUGAGAGGGUGACCGGCCACAUUGGGACUGAGAUACGGCCCAGACUCCUACGGGAGGCAGCAGUGGGGAAUAUUGCACAAUGGGCGGAAGCCUGAUGCAGCAACGCCGCAUGCGGGAUGACGGCCUUCGGGUUGUAAACCGCUUCCGCCUGUGACGAAGCGUGAGUGACGGUAAUGGGUAAAGAAGCACCGGCUAACUACGUG